AGUGAACGCUGGCGGUAGGCCUAACACAUGCAAGUCGAGCGGAAGCACAGUAAUUGCUUCCUCUUUCGGGGGCCGACGGGCGAACGGUGCAUAAAAACCUGGGUGUCUAUUUUUUCUUGGGUGCUAACGCGGGCAAUAUUACCCCAUUACCCCUUAGGGCCUACGGGGGAAAUCAUGGGAUCUUCGGCUCUUGCAUGAUUGUAUGACGGAUUGGCUAGUUGGCUGGGUAAAGGGCUACCAAGGCGACGAUCCGUAGCUGGUCUGAGAGGAUGAUCAGUCACACUGGAACUGAGACACGGUCCAGACUCCUACGGGAGGCAGCAGUGGGGAAUAUUGGACAAUGGGCGAAAGCCUGAUCCAGCCAUACCGCGUGGGUGAAGAAGGCCUUCGGGUUGUAAAGCCCUUUUGUUGGGAAAGAAAAGCAGCAGGUUAAUACCCCGCUGUUCUGACGGUACCAAAAGAAUAAGCACCGGCUAACUUCGUG
rnacentral:rRNA from 1 species